UUAUGUCUCACCACGGAAGUAUUCACCAAACAUCUUGUCCAUAGACUCCUCAACAAAAUGGUGUCGCAGAAAGAAAGAAUAGGCAUCUCAUAGAGACUGCUCGCACUCUCCUCGUUGAAUCCCAUGUUUCACUACGUGUUUGGGGCGAUGCAGUCCUUUCAGCUUGUUAUUUAAUUAACAGAAAGCCCUCUUCUUCUCUUAAAAUCAGGUUCCACAUUCCAUAUUGUUUCCUCAGUCACAUCUCUAUCCUAUCCCCCCUCAUGUCUUUGGGAACACAUGCUUUGUUCAUAAUUAAGCCCCAGAGAAAGAUAAAUUAGCUCCUCGUGCCCUCAAAUGUGUCUUUCUUGGUUACUCUAGGGUUCAAAAAGGGUAUCGUUGUUAUUCACAUGAUCUCCAUGAUACCUUAUGUUCGUUGAUGUUAUAUUUUUUUUGUCUCAUCCUUAUUAUACAUCUUCCGAUCAUCCUGAUGUAUCUAUGGUCUUACCCAUACCUCAAGUUUUACCUGUGCCAACCUUUGAGGGAUCUAUAGUUACGUCUACAUCUCCAGUUG
rnacentral:misc_RNA from 1 species